rnacentral:rRNA from 1 species
GACGAACGCUGGCGGCGUGCCUAAUACAUGCAAGUUGAGCGCUGAAGGUUGGUACUUGUACCAACUGGAUGAGCAGCGAACGGGUGAGUAACGCGUGGGGAAUCUGCCUUUGAGCGGGGGACAACAUUUGGAAACGAAUGCUAAUACCGCAUAAAAACUUUAAACACAAGUUUGAAGGUUGAAAGAUGCAAUUGCAUCACUCAAAGAUGAUCCCGCGUUGUAUUAGCUAGUUGGUGAGGUAAAGGCUCACCAAGGCGAUGAUACAUAGCCGACCUGAGAGGGUGAUCGGCCACAUUGGGACUGAGACACGGCCCAAACUCCUACGGGAGGCAGCAGUAGGGAAUCUUCGGCAAUGGACGAAAGUCUGACCGAGCAACGCCGCGUGAGUGAAGAAGGUUUUCGGAUCGUAAAACUCUGUUGGUAGAGAAGAACGUUGGUGAGAGUGGAAAGCUCAUCAAGUGACGGUAACUACCCAGAAAGGGACGGCUAACUACGUGCCAGCCGCCGCCGUAA